UACGUAGGGACCGAGCGUUGUCCGGAAUCAUUGGGCGUAAAGAGCGUGUAGGCGGCCACUUAAGUCCUGCGUGAAAUCUUGCGGCUCAACCGCAAGCGGUCGUGGGAAACUGGGUGGCUAGAGUGCGGGAGAGGAGAGUGGAAUUCCUGGUGUAGCGGUGGAAUGCGCAGAUAUCAGGAGGAACACCGAUGGCGAAGGCAGGUCUCUGGGCCACUACUGACGCUGAGAAGCGAAAGCAUGGGGGAGCGAACAGGG
rnacentral:rRNA from 1 species